UUCGUCAACUUCAAUAAGCAAUGAAAAUACUUUGAGACUGCCAGCCUCUUUUGAAAUUCCAAGAUUUCCCAAAAAUCUGCAACUAAAACUGGACAACAAAGAACCGUGCCAUAAAAAUCCAAGGGACAGACACACAAUAAUCAGAGUUCUAUAUGAAGCUGUGGCACAGUAUACUAUGUAAGUUAAUCAGGGUAUCCCACAAAUUCUGAAUAUGUGCAAGCUGUGAAGACGCUGGUAA